GCUGAGUUCCUCCUUCCCCCACCUAGAUUCAAGAAACCAUCAAAUAUCAGAAGAGAAAGGAUGGAAUCAUAUAAAACAGAUUGUUUUCUGAUAAAUUCUACCAUUGAUGUCCAGCCUUAUUAGCAGCCAUGGUAAAAUAUAUAAUCUAUUUGCAGUUUUAUGCUACAUCUACAAGAGACUUUGCAUGGGACACACCUGAGUAUGAUAGCCAUCAGG
rnacentral:misc_RNA from 1 species